AACGCUGGCGGCGUGCCUAACACAUGCAAGUCGAACGCGAAAGCCCCGCUAGGGGCAAGUAGAGUGGCAAACGGGUGAGUAACACGUGGGUGACCUGCCUUCGAGUGGGGGAUAACGUCCCGAAAGGGACGCUAAUACCGCAUGACAUCUUGCCUUUGGAAAGGCGGAAAUUAAAGCCGGGGAUCGCAAGACCUGGCGCUUGAAGAGGGGCCCGCGGCUGAUUAGCUAGUUGGUGAGGUAAUGGCUCACUAAGGCAACGAUCAGUAUCCGGCCUGAGAGGGCGGACGGACACACUGGGAUUGAGACACGGCCCAGACUCCUACGGGAGGCAGCAGUGGGGAAUUGUUCGUAAUGGGCGCAAGCCUGACGACGCAACGCCGCGUGGAGGACGAAGAUCUUUGGGUCGUAAACUCCUGUCGAGCGGGAAGAAUACCAUUCGGGUCAAUAACUUGGAUGGCUGACGGUACCGCUAAAGGAAGCCCCGGCUAACUCCGUGCCAUCAGCCGCGGUAAUAAGGU
rnacentral:rRNA from 1 species